GGAGUUGUUGUGCAAGGAAGAGAAGGGCUUGGCUAAAGGAACAGCAAGGGAGUCACGUUCUGAGGAUUGGGGACACAGAGAGUACAUCAUCCAGGGAGUUUGUAGCUCGGCGGAUCGAGCACGAGUGAUUUCAGGAUUUGCUAGCUUUCAGUAUUCACGAGGUACUAGCGAGGACCGUGGGAAGGCGCCGGCGUGAUGUGUACACACUGAUUGAUGUUUUGAGAUCUUGGGAAUUCUAUGAAUUGUAUUUUGACAUAACACUUGGAAUAAUUAUGCUUUGUUUGAAUGAAAAUACUUUAUUUUUGAAAUGAAAAAUUUGUUUGAAAAUUUGCGUUGUUACAAUUGGUAUCAGAGCCUUGGUUUGAGGGAUUCGGGUGCACCUUCGGGCGUAACUGAACUCAAACCGAGGAUUUGAGGAAAAAUUUUACAAAUAAAGACAUAAACUUUUAUGAAUGAUUUUGUGGUAAACAA